rnacentral:rRNA from 1 species
UACAGAGGUCCCAAGCGUUGUUCGGAUUCACUGGGCGUAAAGGGUGCGUAGGUGGUCGGGUAAGUCUGAUGUGAAAUCUCGGAGCUCAACUCCAAAACUGCAUUGGAUACUAUUCGGCUUGAGAGUUGGAGGGGGGACUGGAAUUCUCGGUGUAGCAGUGAAAUGCGUAGAUAUCGAGAGGAACACCAGUGGCGAAGGCGAGUCCCUGGACAGCUUCUGACACUGAGGCACGAAAGCUAGGGGAGCAAACAGG